rnacentral:lncRNA from 1 species
UGUCAAGAUCACACAGUGACAAAACAGAUGAAAGCCCUUUAAUUUGAUAAGUUUGAAAGAACAAUGGGAAAAGAGUCUGUAAGGCUAACUACUGGUUUUUCACUACCUUGAUAAUCAAAUGAAUCAUUUCUCCAGGAAAGAUUAAGCCUACUUGAGAGUAACCAUUUUCUAAAUGACGUGAUGAUGUUGUUAGGAAAGCAAACUUAAGACUGUGUGUGUGUGUGUGUGUGUGUGUGUGUAUGAGAGAGAGAAAAAGAGAGAGAAGAAACAGAUGGAGAGACAGAGAGAGAACAGACAUUGGGAUUUGCAGUGUGUAGGUGAAUCCCUUUUCUUUCUGUCUCUCUUUCUCUUUCUCUCUCACUAUAUGCAACCUGUUUUAGAACAAGAGCAGUUACACACCAAUGCUCCGAAGUUCUGUGAACCUUAACAUUUCCUUUAACCACAAAAAACAAUUGCUGAAGCAAACAGGAUCUCAGAAAGGCAGUUUAAAAAAUACAUUGUGAGGAUGACUCAUUGACUCAUUUUUUUUCUUCCCAGAUCUUUAUAGUGUCCAUAUAUCUAAAUGGAUUUAUAUAUACUUUUAAGCAAAUGCACCUAAAUUCUAAAUCUGUGUAACCUCUAGGAGAAAGGGAUCUUAAAAAUGUGUCAAUUGCAAGGAAAUAUAGUUGCCCUAAUAACAAGCUUCUGGGCAUUUUCCUUUUUUUAUGUUACGGAAAACUCAUUGUGCCAAAAGCUUUCUGCUUAGGCAUGUUAAGUGAGCUGAAAGUAUGCGUGAAUCCUAGAACAAGCAUGAACUUUUACAGGUAGAUACAUCAUUUUGAAGUAAAGACUGGAGACUGGGUAGUAGAAUGCUCAGAGAAUGUGUAAUCAGUCCCCUUGUUUCAGAAGAAGAAUGAGGCUCAAAGAAGAUAAAUGACUUGCCCAAGAUCCUCCAGCUAUACCACAGCAGGGGCAAGGCUACAACUCAGACUCCUAACAACUUGUUCAGUGCUAUAUCUGCCACGUUAAACCUCUGAAAAGUUAUUUAUAAACUGAAGUUCUGUAAAUAAGUCCUAUUUUGAAUCUGAGGUUAACCAGACGUGAAAAAAUGGUCACUAUUCUAUAAACCCAUUUUUGUAAAUAGACAAUAGGGAUUCAUAUGUAUUAAGUACUGACCACUAUUCUAAAAGCUUUCCCUAUCAUAACACUUAAGCCACACACAGCCAUAUGAGGUUUGGACUCCAUUUUAUAAGUGAGUAAACUGAGGCACAGAGAGAUUAGGUAACCUGCUUAAGGUCAUAAGUGAAUUGGUUGGCAAAGCCUAGACCGUGCAAUUCCAGAGCUGAAGCUUUUGACUGUUACCCCACACAGAGCUUGCUUAAAAUGAGGCAGCAGCUGGACAUGCUUUCACAUAAAUUGCCAAACAUGAGCCACGGCUCUGAAAACUGAAUAAAAAUACACUGGAUGUUGGCCUUGCAAGGAUUUUCUCUUUAAUCUUUAGGGAUUAAGUUAAAUGAGAUAAUCAGUUUGGAAAAGAUAAAGCAUACCACAUUGAAGUGCAACGCAAACAUUAUGCAUCUACUAUGAAGAUAAUCUGUACAACCGAUAGGUAUUACUGUCCCACUUCACCAUUGAGGAGACCAAAGUUAGCUUGUAUGGGUACCACGAAGCAGAACCAGAAUCUGAGUCUGAAUCUCGUUUGACUCCCAACUUAUCAACCUGCACUACCUCCCUCACUUCCCACCUCAGAGCUAGCUGGUUACCUAGCUACCUGGAACCUGGGGACCUCAGCCAUUCCACUACAACAUGGUUAGUGAGGUUACAAUAAUCACCUUGGAAAUGAUGAAUGCUCAGGAGAGAGAACACACAGGUUCAUCCAGCCCUGCUUGGUCUUAACGCUUCCCUUCAGGAUGGGGCCACGCAUAAUCCAGAGUGCAGUGCAUCAGCCUAUAGAGGGCGCUCUUAAGUAUCAUAGCCAGAUGUAAAAGAGCAAAAUUCCUAUAGGCAAAGAAAUGUGGGCUGGGCGUUUUGGAAUGCCAUUCCUGGAGGGAGGUGUGGGUGAAUGAUUGCCAAUUUUUCCGUUCUAAGCUUAUCUUCAUAGUUGUGAGCAUUUUUCAGGUCCUCAAAAGAGUUAGUAUCUAAGUAUAAAUUUUCUCUUUAAGGUGUUUGCUUAAAGAGGAAACAUCUUUAAGAAGUGAAAGCUGAAGAAUGGGGCCUAAGAUCAAACUUCAAGGUGUUGGUGGCCUAAACGCCUGCCAUCAAAGUAACACAACAGAAUGAUAACUUGAACCAUAUCUGGUGUGACAACAAUUUGAAAAGCGCCACCCAUCCUCUCUGAGACCACAAACAGCGCUGAAGGCAGUGAACCAAGACUUACAAACAAGGGUGUAGACCAAGGAAAAUGCUGGGGGCCAGAGGAGGAGAAAGCAAGAAGAUAGAAACACCAUAGUUUCAAGAGGGAGGGGAGCAGAAAGCCGCCAGCUCUCCAAAAAACAAGAAGCAAAACCCAGAACUCAAACCUCAUGAAAGUAUCACGAGGUUGAAGCCUUUAAAAGGUGUUUUUACAGCAGAUUUUAGAGACUUCUCACCUUACCAACGGUUAUAAACCCGUAUCCUUGCAAAUUCAGCAGUAGAGUCAUUAGAUUGCCCUCUCAGCCUCUGCACGUGAAGGGUCUCAGGGCUUUUCAGGACAUCUUUAGGGUCAGGUUUCGUGAAAUAGGUAGGUUGGGCCAGCUUUCUGGGGACUCUAAGCAACCUUGGAGAAAAUGGGCAGGAGUAAAUAAAGGUAUGCCAGCUUGCUUUUUCCAGUGGGGACUUGGCAAAUGCCAAAAACAGUAUAAAUAUUAUAUUCCCAUCUUCUAAUAUCAUGGAAACCCAUGGUGGCAAUGGGGCGCAGGGCUCACUAGCCACCCUGAGGUGAAGAAGUGGCCCCUCAGAGAUCUGAAGCUGGUUAGCAAGAGUUCACCAGGGCCUAGCUCCUUGUCCCUCAGGGAAAGCCCCUGGGUGCUAUAGCCCACCACCUGGAAGGGGCAGCCCCUGGAGAAAUGUUAGAAUUCUGGGUGAAUUAUUUUCUUAUGAAAUUUCAUCCAAAGUUUUAACAAAGUACCAAAUAGGAGAGUUGUUAAGUAUUGUGAGUGAGUGAGGUGGAGGAAGCAGAGCGGGGAAGGGGUGGCUCCACUCUCUCACUAUAUUCACUGCUCAUCCUAGAGAUGACCUAGUGUCAAAAACGUUGCAAAUGCAACCAGCUGCCUGUUGCAUCCAUGUAGUUCAGUUGUUGCUAUUUACAGGGUAGUAUAAAUGCCCGGUGCUGCUAUGAACCAAGGUGCUGAGUAUCAAAUGUUCCUGGAAGAGCACCUAGUAGUGUUUCAUUGGAUGGUUUCUAGUAAAAACUUUAUGCAAAAGUAAUAUGGUAUUGCUGAUUAUAGGUAUUAUCUGAUAAUAAUAAUCCUGUCAAGUACUUGCUUGGGCCAGAUCACUCUGUGAAGGCAGAAAGUUGGCAAUGCUUGUCUUAAAUGCAAGAUUCUUUCUCUUUUCUUCCUCCCUCCCUCCCUCCUAUUCAACCAUCCUUUAUUCACCCUUGGAAAAAUUUGGGCUCUGCAUUCACUCUUGCACAAUCCUGUAAUCUCAUGGUUUACUUUAUGAUGACAAUAUUAAUGACAAUAAAGGCACAUUUUCCCUAAGA